rnacentral:rRNA from 1 species
UACGUAGGGUGCGAGCGUUGUCCGGAAUUAUUGGGCGUAAAGAGCUCGUAGGCGGUGUGUCACGUCGGCCGUGAAAACCUGCAGCUUAACUGUGGGCGUGCGGUCGAUACGGGCAUCACUGGAGUUCGGUAGGGGAGACUGGAAUUCCUGGUGUAGCGGUGAAAUGCGCAGAUAUCGGGAGGAAUACCGAUGGCGAAGGCAGGUCUCUGGGCUGACACUGACGCUCAUGCACAAAAGCGUGGGGAGCAAACAGG